GCCGGGCAUGGUGGCGCAUGCCUGUAAUCCCAGCUACUUGGGAGGUUGAGGCAGGAGAAUCGCUUGAACCCAGGGGGUGGAGGGUGCAGUGAGCUGAGAUUGUGCCACUGCACUCCAGCCUGGGUGACAGAGUGAGACUGUGUCUCAA
rfam:Homo sapiens chromosome X, GRCh38 reference primary assembly.